rnacentral:tRNA from 1 species
GUAAGGUCAGCUAAAGAAGCUAGUGGGUUCAUACCCCAAAAAUGAGGUUUUCCCUUACUA